AAUAGAAGGUUUCACCAUCUAAUUUUCAAGACGUAAAGCUUAAAAUGAAAUGAAUCUCUAUUAGUGUAUAGUUUCAUCGCAUAAUUUUAUGGGUUAUUUUUAGCCUUUAAAGUUUUAUUAAUUACUUUUAGUCUUUUGUGGGUCCCACUUAUCUCUUAUGCAUGCGAGAUGAAUGAACUAAAGGUUCUUAGUGAAGAUUUGAUGCGGUUUCUAAUGUUUUGGAAACAACGCUCACUCGUUUCGUUCUAUGAAACGUUUUCCUUCUCUCUCCUUCUCGAUACAUGCAAAAACUCUAUUUUCGCUUACGUGGCACUCUAUGUAAUGUGCAUGAAACCCCAUAAAAUCUACAUUGAAACUGGCCUUAACGUCGACUACUUAGCUAGAAUGAUUUAUAUUCAUGAGUUUGCUUAAGUCAGUCUCAGUGGAAGUUUCAUGACUCUAUUUACAAGACUCCUUGAUAUUGAAAACAACAUAAAUAAGUUUCAUCCCCGUAAAACUAUUUUUAUCUCUCUUCAUUUCAUCUAUGCCACACUAGCUUAUUUAGUGUGUAUGAAACUCUCAUUGAGAGUGGACUUAGAAUCGAAGAAGAGAAAGGAGAAAAUAGUUUCUUGAUAAGAAAUUAUGUCUACAUAAGGAAAAACACAAGUGACUGGACACAAAAAAAUAUUAAAAAGAACUAACUAUUGAAAUAUAGUUGUUUAUAUAUAUAGUGUCUGUGUAAUUUAGUAAGCAUACAAACUAUAUGUGGUUGGGAGUUCCUUAAUAGCUCAUAAUUGCAGUUGUUAGUUGUUAGUACAGAAAAAGUCUAUUUAACCCCCUCAACUAUUAGUUAUUGUCUACUUUACCUCUUCGCCUAUAAAACCAGGUAUUCUACCUCUCAAACUAUUAAAAACUAUUUAAAUAGGGUCUGUCUACUAAAAACUCAGGUGAUUUACACUCUGAUGUCACACGAGUGACACAUGACUCAAAAUCACUCGAUUCAACAAACAAACAAGAAUCGAGUGAUUUGAAUAUAGGAAUCACUCGAUUUUGAAAAAGGAAAAGAUGCAAAUCCAAAGGCUAGAAAAAAAAUAAAAGAUAAAAUUUUAAAAAUAUAUACAAACUUCUUCUAUGUAUGACAAAUUGGAAGAAAUUAAAAAAAGAAAGAAAGACAAAUUACAAAAAAGUACAAUUUAUUUCUAUGUAAGGCAAAAUAAAUUAAAUUAUAAAAGAAGAAAGAAAGACAAAUUACAGAUUGCACAUAGACCAAAAGAAAUUACAAUACUCAAACAAAAAAUUUACACUGAACAUUCCUUUGUAAAAAAUGAAAUGAAUGACUGUAAUUAUAGUAUACAGAAUCCGAUGUGGGCCCAAGCCCAUUCCUUAUAUCUAAUUAUAAAAGGUCCAAGAAAAACGCCCAACUAAGGCCUUGUUUAGUUUCAAAUUUUUUUACAAAAUGAACACUAUAGUACUUUCGUUUGUAUUUGACAAAUAUUGUCUAAUCAUGGACUAACUAGGCUCAAAAGAUUCGUCUCAUAAAUUACAGGCAAACUGUGCAAUUAGUUAUUAUUUUUAUCUAUAUUUAAUGUUCCAUACAUGCGUCACAAGAUUCGAUGUGACGAAGAAUCUAAAAUUUUUUGCAAUUUUUUUUGAGAACUAAACAAGACCUAGGCCUUGUUCAGUUCACCCCAAAAACCAAAAACUUUUCAAGAUUCGUCGUCACAUCGAAUCUUACGGCACAUGCAUGAAGCACUAAAUUUACAGGCAAACUUUGUAAUUUACAAAGUAGCACUUUCGUUUAGAUCCGAAAAGUUUUUAGAUUUUGACAUUGUAGCACUUUCAUUUUUAUUUGACAAACAUUGUCCAUUCAUGGAGUAACUAGGCUUAAAAGAUUCAUCUUGUAAUUUUCAGGCAAACUGUGUAAUUAGUUUUUAUUUUUAUCUAUAUUUAAUGCUCCAUGCAUGUGCCGUAAGAUUCAAUGUGACGAAAAAUCUUGAAAAGUUUUUGGUUUUUGGCGUGAACUAAACAAGGCCUUAACCAAAGAAGAAAGAACGACUAAGAAUCGAGUGACAGAAGCAAAUAAAUUGCUCGAGUGAGACACAGAUUUACGGUUUAAAUAACCCCAUAUUAUGGUUUUGAAAGUGGUUAUGCUGGCAUGUCAUAUUAAGGCCUUGUUUAGUUUACAAAUUUUUUUGGGGGUACUGUAGCAAUUUUGUUUUUAUUUGGUAAUUAUUGUCUAAUCAUAAACUAACUAAGCUCAAAAGAUUCAUUUCGCGAUUUUACAGGCAAACUAUGUAAUUAGUUUUUGUUUUCGACUAUAUUUAAUGCUCCAUGCAUGUAUCACAAGAUUCAAUGUGACGGGGAAUCUUAAAAAGUUUUGGUUUUGGGGGUGAACUAAACAAGGCCUAAAAGUAUAUAUAACACUUUAACAUAUCAAGAGUUGAUUGCAUGGCCCCCUCAACUAUAAAAUAUGAUAUUAUAGCCCUUAAAAUAUCUAAUAAUGAACAAAUAUAAUGAUCAUAUAGGGUCAUUUGGAUAUUGUAUCCCACUACACUAGCUUAAGCACACAUACCUGAUUCAGACCCAUCGUCUGCCUUCUUCUCUGAACUCUUUCUAGGCUUGUGCUGCCGCCCGAUGAGCACCACUUUGCUUCCUACUCCACCCCAUGCACUCCUCGACAACAUUGAAUACAUGCACUAUGGUUGUGCCGUUGUAAUCCAACUCCUCCCACAUCCUUGCUCUCUAUCGCUUUCUCC
rnacentral:lncRNA from 1 species